GGGUGCGAUCAUACCAGCACUAAUGCACCGGAUCCCAUCAGAACUCCGAAGUUAUCCAUGCUUGGGCGAGAGUAGUACUAGGAUGGGUGACCCACCUGGGAAGUCCUCGUGUUGCACCCC
rnacentral:rRNA from 1 species